GUACUAAUGAACAAGGGCUUAGGAGUCAGGAGGCGGGGUUCAAAUCCUUGCUCAGCUACUAUGUGACCUUGGCCAACUUCCUUCCAUGGCUCUCCAUUUCCUCAUCUAUCAAACAAAGAUUGUACAAACAAGUCCAACAAACCCACCAUUAUGCCCAUCCUGGCCCAUGAAAGCAAGCCCUCUGCUCUAGCCAAAAUUGGAAUCAUCAGCCUGAGACCCUGCUCCCCCUCCUAUGGCCCUAUCCUAUCCUGAUCAGACUGCACUAGAAUUCUCCCUGGUUCUGAGCUCUGCACUUCUUACCCUGUCCCGGAUGACUGCUCUUCCACCCCCUGAUUUCUCCGUCCUCCUGAUUUUCCUGAGGAGAUGGACCAGCUCUUUGGAGCUGGGGUAUGGGAUCCUCUCUGGCAGCGUGCUGCAGGACAAAGGUGGCUUCAACAGAAGUGCAGGUGAUUUAUGGUUUAUGUGACAUGAGCUGGCCGGUGUUUGAGAACAGUUGUACCAAUGGCUGUCCUGUACCGAACGUCCUCAAGGAGUCAAACGCUUCACAAGCAGUAUUUUACUUACUCUUCUCAAGGCCUGGUAUGUAUACAG
rnacentral:lncRNA from 1 species